rnacentral:rRNA from 1 species
UGGGUAGUCCGCACGAGCGCACCUCAUCCUCAGUUGCCAUCGGGUUUGGCCGGGCACUCUGAGGAAACUGCCUGUGAUAAGCAGGAGGAAGGCGGGGAUGACGUCAAGUCCUCAUGGCCCUUACGGGCUGGGCUACACACGUGCUACAAUGGCGGUGACAGUGGGAAGCUAAGGGGCGACCUGGAGCAAAUCCCCAAAAGCCGUCUCAGUUCGGAUUGCACUCUGCAACUCGAGUGCAUGAAGGUGGAAUCGCUAGUAAUCGCGGAUCAGCAUGCCGCGGUGAAUACGUUCCCGGGCCUUGUACACACCGCCCGUCACACCAUGGGAGUUGGUUUUACCCGAAGGCGGUUCGCCGACCCGUAAGGGGGGCAGCCGACCACGGUAAGGUCAGCGACUGGGGUGAAGUCGUAACAAGGUAGCCGUAGGGGAACCUGCGGCUGGAUCACCUCCUUUCU